CACACUAGUGAGUGCCACAUGU
rnacentral:snRNA from 1 species